rnacentral:rRNA from 1 species
UGGGGAAUAUUGCACAAUGGGCGCAAGCCUGAUGCAGCCAUGCCGCGUGUGUGAAGAAGGCCUUCGGGUUGUAAAGCACUUUCAGCGGGGAGGAAGGCGAUAAGGUUAAUAACCUUGUCGAUUUACGUUACCCGCAGAAGAAGCACCGGCUAACUCCGUGCCAGCAGCCGCGGUAAUACGGAGGGUGCAAGCGUUAAUCGGAAUUACUGGGCGUAAAGCGCACGCAGGCGGUCUGUCAAGUCGGAUGUGAAAUCCCCGGGCUCAACCUGGGAACUGCAUUCGAAACUGGCAGGCUAGAGUCAUGUAGAGGGGGGUAGAAUUCCAGGUGUAGCGGUGAAAUGCGUAGAGAUCUGGAGGAAUACCGGUGGCGAAGGCGGCCCCCUGGACAAAGACUGACGCUCAGGUGCGAAAGCGUGGGGAGCAAACAGG